rnacentral:rRNA from 1 species
UACGUAGGGGGCAAGCGUUGGCCGGAUUCAUUGGGCGUAAAGAGCUCGUAGGCGGUGUGUCGCGUCGGCCGUGAAAACCUGCAGCUUAACUGUGGGCUUGCGGUCGAUACGGGCAUCACUGGAGUUCGGCAGGGGAGACUGGAAUUCCUGGUGUAGCGGUGAAAUGCGCAGAUAUCAGGAGGAACACCGGUGGCGAAGGCGGGUCUCUGGGCCGAUACUGACGCUGAGGAGCGAAAGCGUGGGGAGCGAACAGG